rnacentral:sRNA from 1 species
CGCCUGCGGCGGAUGCAGCGCGGUGCUUUCAGGGCCUUGCAGGCGGCUGCGCCGGCGUACCAUCCUGUAGAAAUAAGCAUGCUUAAUUUCUUUC